rnacentral:rRNA from 1 species
UACGUAGGGUGCAAGCGUUAAUCGGAAUUACUGGGCGUAAAGCGUGCGCAGGUGGUUAUGUAAGACGGAUGUGAAAUCCCUGGGCUCAACCUAGGAACUGCAUUCGUGACUGCAUGGCUAGAGUGCGGCAGAGGGGGGUAGAAUUCCGCGUGUAGCAGUGAAAUGCGUAGAUAUGCGGAGGAACACCGAUGGCGAAGGCAGCCCCCUGGGCCUGCACUGACACUCGUGCACGAAAGCGUGGGGAGCAAACAGG